CCGGUUUGAAUCGUAUCUCGUAGAAUAACCAGCCAAACCGGAGAAUCACGGUUUGAUGCUGUCCCAAAUUUCAGAUCAACGACCCACAAAAAUCUUACGCAUCAAACUCGGGAGAAACAAUUUACGGGUGAGAGGAGAUAUGGUAGGCGGCGGAGAUGGCGAACGCGGCGGAGUUGGUGGUCGUGGCGGUAACAAAGCGGAGGCAAAUCAGUUGCUCGUAACAUCGGAGAAGCUUCUAUCGUCUAGUGACUUCCAAGGAGCCAAGGCGUCAGCGAUCCGCGCAUGCAAAUCCGACCCGAGCCUAGCGGAAGCGGCGGACUCCAUCCUCACAAUCUGCGACGUUCUCAUAGCCAGCGAGAUUCGUCUAGGCGACUCAAAAUUACCUGACUGGUACGCCGCGCUGCGACUCGGUCGGUUAGCUCAGAACCCCGAACACGUCGCGACUCAGUACCGCAGGCUCGCUCUCCUCCUCAAUCCGUCGGUUAAUCGCUUUCCGUUAGCCGAUCAGGCGUUUAAGGUCGUCUCCGAAGCUUGGCACGUGCUCUCCGAUCCCUCGAGGAAGUCGCUGUACGACCAAGAGGUUCAACUGAGUCAACUCGUCCAACCUCAGAAGCAACGUUUCGUAUGGAAACCUAGCCAAAGCACCACCAACGUAGUAGUAGCACAACAGCCGCCUUCUGUUGCUCAGCCGCCGCGGAGGAGCGAUCCUAUGGCGACGAGCUUCUGGACUGCUUGUCCGUACUGUUUUGUGCUCUUUGAGUACCCUAAGGCUUACGAGGAAUGCGUUUUGAGGUGUCAAGAUUGUAGAAGAGCUUUUCAAGCUGUGACGAUACAGAAACCUCCGGUGGAGGGGGAAGGAGAAGACGUUUACUUCUGCUCGUGGAGUGUAUUCCCGCUAGGGUUUUCCGGCGAGUUUAGAGCUCCGAGCUGGUCACCUAUUUCACCUCUUAUUGCAUGCCCUCUGCAAAUGGUGGACGAUGAACGGACCAGGAAGAAGAGAAAGGAACCUGCUCCUCCAAGAUUUUUCUAUGACGAUGAUGACAUAUAUGUUGCUAUUUCCGAUGAUGAUCAUGAGGAAAAUGACCCUAAUGAGUUACAAGCGAAGAAUGUCGGGAAAGGGAAAGAAAAACUUGUGAGGGGUAACAAGAAACAUGGAUCAGAGAAGGCUGGGAGGGGAAUCCAACAUGUAGAAACUAUCGGUGGUGCUAGCAAUCAUGCGGCUUCAAUUGCUUCAUAUGUUACUCCUGUUGGUUCCUCGUCUAUGUCAAAACCGAUGAGUAUUAGAAAAAGAACGGGAACUGGAGCUAAGAACCUAGGAAGGUUGGAUUUGAAUGUGGAGUUCAGUAAUGAAGUGGAAGAGCCUGCUGUGGCAGGCGGGAGAAAUGAAGGCAAUGGGCUCGGAAGUAACAGGGAGGUGGAUAAUAUGGAAGGGAUUGGGUUCUUUGAGGACCUUGAUGAAUUCUUGAGUAGUUUGCCGAUAUUUUCUGUCGAUGGGGAUGAUAAGAUCAAGGCUACUUAGUGAAACAGGUUGAUAGUCGUCGGAAAAUCAAAGCCAUGCCAACAAUACCAGAGUGUUGGUCAACGGUCAACGUGUACAUGGAGAUCUCCGUCUUUGUUGGAGAAGAUGAGAUCUAUAUGUUGUUGGAUCCGACAGCUGCAUUUCUCAACAAUGGCAAUCGUUUCUUCAAUCAUGCCCACUUCAGUGGAUCCUUCUUCCUCAGGAGUCUGUGUUUUUCACAAUACGUCGAAG